rnacentral:rRNA from 1 species
ACGAACGCUGACGGUGUGCUUUAGGCAUGCAAGUCGAACGAGAAAGCCCUUCGGGGUGAGUAGAGUGGCGAACGGGUGAGUAACACGUGGGCAACCUGCCCCUCGCAGGGGGAUAACCGGAGGAAACUCCGGCUAAUACCCCGUAAGCUUUCAGGGUCGCAUGGCCCUGAAAGGAAAGGUAGCUUCGGCCAUCCGGCGAGGGAUGGGCCCGCGGUGCAUUAGCUAGUUGGUGGGGUAAAGGCCCACCAAGGCGACGAUGCGUAGCUGGUCUGAGAGGAUGAUCAGCCACACUGGGACUGAGACACGGCCCAGACUCCUACGGGAGGCAGCAGCCAGGAAUCUUGGGCAAUGGGCGAAAGCCUGACCCAGCAACACCGUGUGGGCGAUGAAGGCCUUCGGGUCGUAAAGCCCUGUUGAUAGGGACGAAGGGCGAAGGGUUAAUAGCCCCUAGCCUGACGGUACCUUUCGAGGAAGUCCCGGCUAACUACGUGCCAGCAGCCGCGGUAACACGUAGGGGACGAGCGUUGUCCGGAUUCAUUGGGCGUAAAGCGCGCGUAGGCGGCUCGGAAAGUCGGUCGUGAAAUGCCGGGGCUCAACCCCGGGACUGCGUCCGAUACUCUCGAGCUGGAGGCAGGUAGGGGAGAUCGGAAUUCCUGGUGUAGCGGUGAAAUGCGCAGAUAUCAGGAGGAACACCGGUGGCGAAGGCGGAUCUCUGGGCCUUGCCUGACGCUGAGGCGCGAAAGCUAGGGGAGCAAACAGGAUUAGAUACCCUGGUAGUCCUAGCCGUAAACGUUGGGUGCUAGGUGUGGGCGGAUAUCGACCCCGUCCGUGCCGAAGCUAACGCAUUAAGCACCCCGCCUGGGGAGUACGGCCGCAAGGCUAAAACUCAAAGGAAUUGACGGGGGCCCGCACAAGCGGCGGAGCAUGCGGCUUAAUUCGAUGCGACGCGAAGAACCUUACCUGGGCUUGACAUGCAGGGCAAAGCCGGUGAAAGCCGGCGCUCUACGGAGCCUGCACAGGUGGUGCAUGGCUGUCGUCAGCUCGUGCCGUGAGGUGUUGCCUUAAGUGGCGCAACGAGCGCAACCCUUGUCCCUAGUUGCCAGCGGGUCAUGCCGGGAACUCUAGGGAGACUGCCGGUGCCAAACCGGAGGAAGGUGGGGAUGACGUCAAGUCAUCAUGCCCCUUAUGUCCAGGGCUGCACGCAUGCUACAAUGCGCGGUACAAAGGGCUGCAAACCCGUAAGGGGGAGCGAAUCCCAAAAAGCCGCGCUCAGUUCGGAUCGGGGUCUGCAACCCGACCCCGUGAAGUCGGAGUCGCUAGUAAUCGCAGAUCAGCAAUGCUGCGGUGAAUA